UACAGAGGUCUCAAGCGUUGUUCGGAUUCAUUGGGCGUAAAGGGUGUGUAGGUGGCGCGCUAAGUCGGGUGUGAAAUUUCGGAGCUUAACUCCGAAACUGCAUUCGAUACUGGCGUGCUUGAGGACUGGAGAGGAGACUGGAAUUCAUGGUGUAGCAGUGAAAUGCGUAGAGAUCAUGAGGAAGACCAGUGGCGAAGGCGGGUCUCUGGACAGUUCCUGACACUGAGACGCGAAAGCGUGGGGAGCAAACAGG
rnacentral:rRNA from 1 species